rnacentral:rRNA from 1 species
UCGCCUGCAUGAAGUUGGAAUUGCUAGUAAUCGCGAAUCAGAAUGUCGCGGUGAAUACGUUCCCGGGCCUUGUACACACCGCCCGUCACACCAUGAGAGUCGAUAACACCCGAAGCCUGUGAGCUAACCGCAAGGAGGCAGCAGUCGAAGGUGGGGUUGAUGAUUGGGGUGAAGUCGUAACAAGGUAGC